rnacentral:rRNA from 1 species
GGGCCCGCACAAGUGGUGGAGCAUGUGGUUUAAUUCGAAGCAACGCGCAGAACCUUACCAGCCCUUGACAUCCCGAUCGCGGUUACCAGAGAUGGUUUCCUUCAGUUAGGCUGGAUCGGUGACAGGUGCUGCAUGGCUGUCGUCAGCUCGUGUCGUGAGAUGUUGGUUAAGUCCCGCAACGAGCGCAACCCUCGCCCCUUAGUUGCCAGCCUUAAGUUGGGCACUCUAAGGGGACUGCCGGUGAUAAGCCGAGAGGAAGGUGGGGAUGACGUCAAGUCCUCAUGGCCCUUACGGGCUGGGCUACACACGUGCUACAAUGGUGGUGACAGUGGGCAGCGAGACGGCAACGUCGAGCUAA